UUCAACUUUAACCAUCUGUCUUUGAUUAAAAAAAACUUUAACCAUCUGUCUUAUUUGAAAAAGUUUAUAAUUAAUUUUUUAUUAUUAGAUGGUAAUAUAUAAAUAGUACUUCAUGCAUUACUAUUUCUUUUUAGUUUGUUUUAUAAAAUUUUUAAAUAAGACGAACGGUGAAAGUUGACACGGAAAUC
rnacentral:pre_miRNA from 1 species